rnacentral:misc_RNA from 1 species
AAGUCUUUGCCAGCAAUAAGUGAUUCGAAAAAUGGAUUAAUUAGGGCCAGUAGUGAAGGUGUUACAACAAAAGCAGACAGUGUUCCCCCAGUUGUAUGUGUUGUAUAUUUUAUUUGUGUGGUGUGUGCAUGCAAGCACAUAUUGUACAUUUAUAUGCUUUAAUAUAUACGUAUUAAGUUAAAGUUAAUUAGUUAAACGAUUAUACAUACAGCACAUCUAUUUAUACUAACUGUUUUUUUUCGUCCUUUCAUAAAUUUAAACCAAAUUUUUAUAUUUUUUUCAAGAUAUAACCAAAUGCUAAUUUAGCACUAAUAAAUUCUAAUUUAAAAAAUAUGACCAAAAAGUUAAUCAAACUUUAUUAUGUCAAGCAUGUUGAAUUAUUGGUAUUUAUUUGAAGUAUAGCAUUUUUACUAAUAGUCUAGAAUUUGAACAAACACAGAACAUCUUGCAGUUAUAUAUACGAAGAGGAAAAAAACUGAUUUUAUUCAAUUUCUUUUUACUUAUUUAUAUUACAAUAAAUUAUUAGAAACGCAUGUUUGAUCCAGGUACCAUUACGUUAUGUCUCACAUUUGACCAAUAAUCAAAAAGGAAAUGGAGAUUUAAUGGAAGAAGAAUGGUUCCACGGUGUUCUACCAAGAGAAGAAGUUGUAAGAUUACUUGUUAACGAAGGAGACUUUUUAGUGCAUGAAACAACAAGAAAUGACGAAUGUCAAAUAGUUUUAUCUGUCUGUUGGGAUGGUCAUAAACAUUUUAUUGUACAAACUACGCCAGAGGGACAUUAUAGAUUUGAGGGUCCAACAUUCCCAUCAAUAAAAGAAUUAAUUCGGCAUCAGUGUUUGUCUAGCUUACCUGUAACCAGUCGUUCUGGGGCUAUUCUUAAAACACCAAUAUUACGCGAACGAUGGGAGCUUAAUAACGAUGACGUAAUUCUUCUUGAAAAAAUAGGAAAGGGUAAUUUUAGAGAUGUAUACAAAGCACAGCUUAAAAAAUACAAGACUGAAGAUGUAGCUGUAAAAACUUGUAAAGUAACAUUGCCAGAUGAACAGAAAAAGAAGUUCUUGCAGGAAGGUAGAAUUUUGAAACAGUACGAUCAUCCAAAUAUAGUUAAACUUAUUGGCAUUUGUGUUCAAAAACAGCCGAUUAUGAUAGUAAUGGAAUUGGUCGCAGGGGGAUCAUUGUUAAAAUAUUUAAGAGAUAAUGCUAGCACAAUUACACAACAAGAACAACUACGAAUGUGUAAGGAUGCAGCUGCAGGUAUGCGUUAUUUAGAAUCAAAGUAUUGCAUACACCGAGACUUAGCAGCUCGAAACUGUCUCGUAGGUUACGAGCCGAUAGUGAAAAUCUCUGAUUUUGGAAUGUCAAGAGAAGAAGAAGAAUAUAUUGUAUCGGAUGGAAUGAAACAAAUUCCUAUCAAAUGGACUGCACCAGAGGCACUUAAUUUUGGUAAAUACACUUCGCUUUGUGAUGUUUGGAGUUAUGGUGUUCUUAUGUGGGAAAUAUUUUCUAAAGGUGGUAAUCCAUACAGCGGUAUGUCAAAUUCUCAGGCACGUGAAAAAAUUGACGAAGGAUAUCGCAUGCUGGCACCAGAAAAUACUCCGGAUGAAAUAUAUCGAUUAAUGUUACAUUGUUGGGAAUAUGAACCAGAAAAACGACCACAUUUUGAUCAGAUAUAUACCGUUGUUGAAACAUUAUCACAAGCUUAUUUAUAAAUAAUUAUCAAUGGCACAUAUUUUUUUACAAAUUUACAGAAAAAUGUAGUUUUCAAAGUGCCUCAAAGUGUUGCUUUCAAGAAGCUUAAAAACAGCUUUUUUAAUCUGUCGCUAGGAUAUCUACAUUACA